GACGAACGCUGGCGGCGUGCUUAACACAUGCAAGUCGAACGGAAAGGCCCUGCUUUUGUGGGGUGCUCGAGUGGCGAACGGGUGAGUAACACGUGAGUAACCUGCCCUUGACUUUGGGAUAACUUCAGGAAACUGGGGCUAAUACCGGAUAGGAGCUCCUGCUGCAUGGUGGGGGUUGGAAAGUUUCGGCGGUUGGGGAUGGACUCGCGGCUUAUCAGCUUGUUGGUGGGGUAGUGGCUUACCAAGGCUUUGACGGGUAGCCGGCCUGAGAGGGUGACCGGCCACAUUGGGAAUGAGAUACGGGCCCGACUCCUACGGGAGGCAGCAGUGGGGAAUAAUGCACAAUGGGCGGAAGCCUGAUGCAGCAAAGCCGCGUGCGGGAUGACGGCCUUCGGGUUGUAAACCGCUUUCGCCUGUGACGAAGCGUGAGUGACGGUAAUGGGUAAAGAAGCACCGGCUAACUACGUG
rnacentral:rRNA from 1 species